CCCUUAGACGUUCUGGGCCGCACGCGCGCUACACUGACCAGUGCAACAAGCAUCCGUCCUUGGCCGACAGGCCCGGGCAAUCUUUGAACGCUGGUCGUGAUGGGGAUAGACUUUUGCAAUUUUUGGUCUUCAACGAGGAAUUCCUAGUAAGCGCAAGUCAUCAGCUUGCGUUGAUUACGUCCCUGCCCUUUGUACACACCGCCCGUCGCUCCUACCGAUUGAAUGGUCCGGUGAAGCGUUCGGACCGUGGCCUUUGGACGGUUCGCCGUCUGUUGGCUGCGGGAAGUUCGUUAAACCUUAUCAUUUAGAGGAAGGAGAAGUCGUAACA
rnacentral:rRNA from 1 species